rnacentral:lncRNA from 1 species
GGACCUUGUUAUCUAUGGUUAAACCAUGUUUAGGACCUCAUUUCAGUUCAUUUCAGGCAAGGUCAAAUCUCCCAGCAUUUCCUGUUUGUGUGCAUGCAUCUAAGGCAUCAUAGCACUGAGGACAAAGCCUCCUCCUCUAGGUCGAUCUUGCCGAUUUCACAGUGCAUGGAGAGGUCUAGAAGAGAUCAACAGGAUCCACUACAACAUCCAUUUGAAUUGACAGCUAUUGAGAGCAAACUACAACAUGCAUUGGAAGAGGCUGAUGUUAAUGAGAGAGCCAGCCGUCUCAAAAGGAUGGGCCAUUCACCUAGUUGCCCUCAAGGUGCCCCCUGCAAGUACCCACCAUAGCAGGAAGACAAGUUGCCACUGUGAAUCACCUCCCCAUUACAGUCACACUACACGUGGUUGGCCUCUCCCUGAUUCAGCCUAGAGUACCAUUGCAGACUUUCUCCGUCCCUUGAAUUUCACUACUUUCAGAUCCUCUCUCAGGAACAGAUUGAAAAGUGGAUCCGGUCCAGUCAGAGGUGCUGAAAGUGUGGAAGGGAACACUUCCAAACCAACCAGCUCUGCAGCCAAAACACUCUAAAUAGGCAGGCCAACUGGCAGUAGAAAAGUGCUGCUGAAGAUGAGCUGGGUCAUCUUGAGGAACGGUGAUAACUCAUUGGACACAUAUGCUUUGUUACACUCUAUCUUACUGUACAAAGCAGCACAACAUCUUUACCUUCAAGGAUCCUUGCACACACCAAGAUGUACUUGUCCUCCAUGGAGCCACAGUGUCACUCUCAGUUUCACCUUCCAACCAACCAAGUAAAACCUUCCACAUUCGGAGAGCAUUCACUGCCCAGGAGCUUGGUCUGGCUCCCCAUACUCACCCUGUGUUAGCACUCAAGAAGUCAUAUCGACAUCUCAAACACUUACCUCUCUAACCUAUUGUCUGUGCACAACCCCUAAUCCUCAUUGGAUCUGGCAAUCUGCCUCCCUGCCUGUUCACCUGUUGGCCCUUGUGGUCCCAAGUCAAGACCCAGCUGCAAUGGUCACUUCAAGGGCCCUUCAAGCUGCUGAAACACAGCCUUAUCGCUCAGCAGUGCCUCCUGACAUCCAUUGCUCUUGCUAACUCCGAGCUCUUGCAUGGUCCACCUACAAUGGGAAGAUGGUCAGACUUAGACGAGUUCCCAGACUGAGUGGAUUCUGGGGACCCAGGGGAAACUGCAGCCUUUAGGGACUGAUGGCUACGAUUGGAGGGGGCCUUAUGUAGAGGGGCUUUGUGGGCGAAUGGCCAAGGUGGAGGGGCCCAGUGGUCAUUUGGUCACUAGCUCAAGGGCUUAAUUGGUGUAGAGGUUCUACAAGU